CAUUAUGCUUCGCUCUAAAAUUUUGCCCUGAGAAAAACAAAUGCUUGAUCCUCAUCAGGAAAAAAGAAAAGAUGUCACUGAACCUCUUCUUCAUAACUACUGAGUUCCACAACAUGUCUACGAUUCAACUUUGUAACGCUAGUUCUGUGCAUUACACACCCUGAAAUGCAGACUGAACAUACAAGUGUCCAGGGUACUUAAUCUUCUUUCUUCUUCUAAAUUACCCCAUAAGAUAUUCUGCACAGCCAACGUGGGCUUACAAUAAACCGAUUCCCCUUGACACACUGCAUACAUGUAACAUUUGCUUUAUUUUAUUAUCCUGAUCAGCUUUCAAGUCAUAGAAGGAAAAGGUGGAGAAAGACACACGCAGUCACUUCAUUGCAAGGACAGGUACAGAGACUUGCGGCCACCUGAAAAAGAAGCAUUUCUACUUCGUCUGUCACCGGUCUGGAAGUUAUGCUUCACAAGCUACAAGUAAACAAAAGCUGAAGCGGCCUUCAAGUGUCAAGUGUGGAAAAAGAUGUUUUGCGGCAAUGGCUGUGACUGAAGACAACACAGGGCACUAAACUUCAGUAAAAAAAAUUUUAUGAGCCGCACAUUCUAGCAGACAAAAUAAACUGCAAGUACAUUGCUGGAGAAAAAGAAUGUCUCAUGUUGGUCUUGCAUAUAUAAGUUACACUGUUCUACAAUACGCUUGGACGAAAAUGAAAAGAAAAUGGUGGCACCUAUGGUUUGGAAAAUAUGACAAGCUGCGAGAAGGCGUGUCCAUGGAUGCAGUACUGGAUAAUGUGCGGUCCAACGUGGAUGAGACAUUCCACCGCAUUAACCUGUUAAGCAAGCAGGAUCUCCGCAAAAUAAUGAGGGAUGCCAGAGUCUCGAAGACCGAGCGGCUGCACGAUAAUGACUAUGUGAGCAUGCAACUCUGGGUUGAGAGGAUGCAUAGUGAAAAGGAAAACCCAUUGCUCUUCUUUAAACACCAAGGACAACCCGACAAAAAGUGACAUUUUCUUAGAGAAAAAAUAUGAGGACCUUUUGGAUGACAGAGAUCUUAUGCUAGUCAUCAUGACCACACCACAACAGGAGCUUUUCAAGAGGCUUGAAACUGAUCGUAUAUGUGUCGAUGGAACACAUGGAACAGCAGGUGAGCAGUACUAUAUAAAUGCAUUAAUAAUAAAAGCAAGAAAGAGGGAAUGCUGUCCGAGAAUAAUUGCAAUAGAUAUGAUGAGUAGUAUUCCUUCACACAUGAUAUUUCUCUUAAUUUUUCA